CGGAGUUGAUAGGAAGCUUGCUUCCUGGAUACUUAGCGGCGGACGGGUGAGUAACACGUAGGCAACCUGCCCUCAAGUUUGGGACAACUACCGGAAACGGUAGCUAAUACCGAAUAGUUGUUUUCUUCGCCUGAAGAGAACUGGAAAGACGGAGCAAUCUGUCACUUGGGGAUGGGCCUGCGGCGCAUUAGCUAGUUGGUGAGGUAACGGCUCACCAAGGCGACGAUGCGUAGCCGACCUGAGAGGGUGAUCGGCCACACUGGGACUGAGACACGGCCCAGACUCCUACGGGAGGCAGCAGUAGGGAAUCUUCCGCAAUGGGCGAAAGCCUGACGGAGCAAUGCCGCGUGAGUGAUGAAGGUUUUCGGAUCGUAAAGCUCUGUUGCCAGGGAAGAACGCUUGGGAGAGUAACUGCUCUCAAGGUGACGGUACCUGAGAAGAAAGCCCCGGCUAACUACGUGCCAGCAGCCGCGGUAAUACGUAGGGGGCAAGCGUUGUCCGGAAUUAUUGGGCGUAAAGCGCGCGCAGGCGGUCAUUUAAGUCUGGUGUUUAAUCCCGGGGCUCAACCCCGGAUCGCACUGGAAACUGGGUGACUUGAGUGCAGAAGAGGAGAGUGGAAUUCCACGUGUAGCGGUGAAAUGCGUAGAUAUGUGGAGGAACACCAGUGGCGAAGGCGACUCUCUGGGCUGUAACUGACGCUG
rnacentral:rRNA from 1 species